AUUAAAACGUUGACGGGGAAAAGUAAGAUUUAGUUAUUUUUCACAGAGAGCUUCAGUCGCUGAAAAGAAGCAAAAAUACGAAUCUGAACAAUGGCCUCACGAGUUUCGUGCUGAACGUAUGUCUUAUACUAGUAGGUUCCGACGAGAUUUGGUACUCGUUAUCAAUACCACAGUAUAUACAGGGUGGUGUUACCUGUCGUACUUGAUGAGACUGUCUGUGUGAGCAGAUGGUGAAGUAAGGUGGUACCACGUUAAACCGACCACGUCCUUAUC
rnacentral:ncRNA from 1 species